CCUACGGGUGGCUGCAGUAGGGAAUCAUCCGCAAUGGGGGCAACCCUGACGGUGCAACGCCGCGUGAGCGAGGAAGGUUUUCGGAUCGUAAAGCUCUGUUGUGCAGGAAGAACGCAGGAGAGAGGAAAUGCUCUUCUGGUGACGGUACUGCACGAGGAAGCCCCGGCUAACUACGUGCCAGCAGCCGCGGUAACACGUAGGGGGCAAGCGUUGUCCGGAAUGAUUGGGCGUAAAGGGCGUGCAGGCGGCUAUGCAAGUCUGAUGUGAAAGGCACCGGCUCAACCGGGGGAUGUCAUUGGAAACUGCAAGGCUUGAGUCCAGGAGAGGAGAGUGGAAUUCCACGUGUAGUGGUGAAAUGCGCAGAGAUGUGGAGGAACACCAGUGGCGAAGGCGGCUCUCUGGCCUGAGACUGACGCUGAGACGCGAAAGCGUGGGUAGCGAACAGGAUUAGAUACCCUGGUAGUC
rnacentral:rRNA from 1 species